UAUUGUCAUCCUUCUUUUGUUUUUCCAAUUGUUUUUCUUUUUCUUUUUCUUUUCUUUUUAUUUUUUUAUUUUCUGUCAACUUUGAAAACAUCACAACUAUGAUAAUUCAACUCCAUAAAACUCUAAACAAGACUCAUUAAACCCUAUGAAUGAGGUGAUACCAUUGUUUUUCACUUUACGACUUGUAAUGAGUUUUAAACAAAGAAUGGGAUAAUAGACUCAAUGGAUUUUCAAACAAGGGAUGUUAUUAUUCAGGGUUGACUUUUUGGCUAAUUGGCUAAAAAAAUAAGUUGCCUUUAUCAUAUCAGUGUGCACAAGUAAACAAAAAGCUUCAACAAGAGUCAACUUAAGUUCUAUAGACUAGCAGACAUGAGUGAAACGCACACGAAAGAAAAAUAUAGAUUUUUGAAUGUUAUCCAUUAUUAGCCUAAAAAUAUCACAAGGUAAAUGAUUUACUGCAAAUGAUGCACAAUUCAUAGUUUAGUCCUACUUACAUAUUAAGAAUGCACAACAAAUCACUCACAUUACACUACAAGUCUUUAAUCAAU
rnacentral:lncRNA from 1 species